UUUUGUGUCAAAGGGGAGUAGCGUUGCUUACUGUUGAUAACAGUAAGCAAGAUAAAGUCGUCAAUACAUGGAUUAAUUCCAUCGGUUUUAUCAACAUGUGUCAUGUCAGCGAGACCUUUGUCCACACUUAUUUAAGGUGGGCAAAGGGCUUGUU
rnacentral:sRNA from 2 species